rnacentral:lncRNA from 1 species
CACUUACCGAAGGGCCACCAUGUGAUCAUCCUUCCCAGGCUGAGGGUACAGACAGGAGCUGGCAGAGCAGGGAGGGUGCUGGGCAUCUACCACAGGGUCAGGAGCCCUGGGGAAGUCUCCUGAUGGUGGACACCAGAACUGGUUAACAUCUACAGGCCUGGCUCACCCAACCAAACAUACGGGAGGUGGGUGGAUGGAUAAACAAUGCCACUGUGACCGCUUACAAUGAGCGCCAGUUCGUUUAGAAGGCUGAUGUCAGGAAUUGGCUCAAGUCAUUCAUUCCCUCCUGGUGAUGCCGGGCAAAUGCAGAACCAGGGCAAAUGCAGAACCAGAGCAAAUGGAGCCAGCCUUUCUCGAAGGAUUUCUCAGUCUGUCAGACUGGGCUACAGAAAUGUGUGACGUGCCGGGAAGUGUCAGGGAAAGUGUGGCUCAGGAGUGACCUGGGUUGUAAUCUUAGCUCUACCAGUUCUUAACAACAUGUCCUUGGCAGGUUGCUUAAGCCUUGGCCUUUUGUUCAUCUGAUACAUGGAGAUGAUCAUAGAACAACCCAGAGAGUUGCUGGGAGGAGCAUACAGAUGAUGUGCUGUGCAAUGACUAGGUCCAGGCAGAUGCAACAUAAACA